UAUACUGAAAUUUUAGUAAACAACUAGCGCACCUGCUUUAACAAAAUAACCAAAUGAGGUAUAUAAUAAUGGUAGUGGAAUUUAUGGUCCCAUAGAGAAAAUUAAACCAACUUGUACACGUUUUAACAAAAUUGGUUCAAUAAUAGAGUUGUGGUCCAUACUACUUUAGAAAAAGUAAAGUGUCGGCAAGUCCUGCCAAACUUACUUUGUAGAAAAAAAAUAAUUGAACAAAC
rnacentral:lncRNA from 1 species